rfam:Robinsoniella sp. RHS robin_c63, whole genome shotgun sequence.
UACAAGCAUAAAAUAUUAAGUGCCCGCUGCAUGUGGGGUAAAAGGGAAUUAGGUGUAGAAUCCUAAACGAUCCGGUCACUGUGAUUGGUGAGCAAAGCCAUAGAGAGCCAUUGCAUUUUUGUGAGAAGGCAUGUCUUUGCGUUAUAACCAUAAGUCAGGAAACCUGCUUAAUAUAGGGUUGGUAU